rnacentral:tRNA from 1 species
GCCCGGUUAGCUCAGCUGGUUAGAGCGUCGUACUAAUAUAACGUCUCAGUUAUAUCGAGUGAUGCGAAGGUCAACAGUUCAAUCCUGUUACUGGGCA